rnacentral:rRNA from 1 species
ACCCGCUGAACUUAAGCAUAUCAAUAAGCGGAGGAAAAGAAACUAACAAGGAUUCCCCUAGUAACUGCGAGUGAAGCGGGAAAAGCUCAAAUUUAAAAUCUGGUAGUCUUUGGCUGCCCGAGUUGUAAUCCAGAGAAGUGUUACCCGUGCUGGACCGUGUACAAGUCUCCUGGAAUGGAGCGUCAUAGAGGGUGAGAAUCCCGUCUUUGACACGGACUCCCAGUGCUUUUGUGGUGCGCUCUCAACGAGUCGAGUUGUUUGGGAAUGCAGCUCAAAAUGGGUGGUGAAUUCCAUCUAAAGCUAAAUAUUGGCGAGAGACCGAUAGCGAACAAGUACCGUGAGGGAAAGAUGAAAAGAACUUUGGAAAGAGAGUUAAACAGUACGUGAAAUUGUUGAAAGGGAAACGCUUGAAGUCAGUCGCGUUGUCCAGAAAUCAACCUUGGUUCUCCUGGGUGUACUUUCUGGUUCAACGGGUCAGCAUCAGUUUUGAUCGAUGGAGAAAGUCCAAGGGAAUGUGGCAUCUUCGGAUGUGUUAUAGCCCUCGGUCGUAUGCAUCGGUUGGGACUGAGGAAUUCAGCACGCCGCAAGGCCGGGGUUCGCCCACGUACGUGCUUAGGAUGCUGGCAUAAUGGCUUU